rnacentral:rRNA from 1 species
GACGAACGCUGGCGGCGUGCUUAACACAUGCAAGUCGAGCGAUGAAGUUUCUUCGGAAAUGGAUUAGCGGCGAAGGGGUGAGGAACACGUGAAGAAUCUGCCCUCCACUUUGGGAUAACACCGGGAAACCGGUGCUAAUACUGAAUAUUGAAACAUAAGUGGCAUCACUGAGUUUUGAAAGAAUUUCGGUGGAGGAUGACUUCGCGGCCUAUCAGCUAGUUGGUGAGGUAAUGGCUCACCAAGGCAACGACGGGUAGCCGGCCCGAGCGGGCGACCGGCAACCCUGGGACUGAGACACGGCCCAGACUCCUACGGGAGGCAGCAGUGGGGCAUAUUGGGCAAUGUAAGAAACUCUGACCCAGCGACGCCGCGUGCGGGAUGAAGGCCUUCGGGUUGUAAACCGCUGUAAGUAGGGAAGAAGCGAAAGUGACGGUACCUACAAAAGAAACACCGGCUAACUAUGUGCCAGCCGCCGUCGUAA